CCCAAAUAAACACCUCACCUCCCAGCCUGCCUUGCAGCGUGAUCUGAGUUCUGGCCAACAGACUGUGUGGGGAGCUGGCACCCUGAUCACCCUGGACCUGAAGCCUGCAAAGCUCAGACUUCCCUUUUACGUCAGCCGACCCGUCCGCCGUGUGGUUUAAGCCAGCUUGGGUUGCGUUUUCAGCCACAGGCCAGUGAAGCUUCCAGAAAGAUAGGACGGAGGAGACGUGUGCUGUGAGGGAGGCUCAGUCUUCCUGUGUGAGGAGAGAAGCCGGAAGGGAGCCUUGGGAACCCACAGAAGGCUUCCUGGAGGAGGAGGAGCCCUGGAGGGCCGGGUCGGAGCCUGCCGCCCUCCCGCAGCAGGAGGAGCCGCCGCCCCGGCUGCCGAGUCCAGCACGCGUGCGUCCGUUUGGCCCAAUUUAAAAUUCGCAGGUAGCACCUCGCACCUUCCUGGGAGCUGCGAAAGGCACAGCCUGACCUUCGUGCAGCCUGGGAGGUUUCAUUUCUCACACCACCCACAUCUUUCAAGGCCCGAGGGGUUCGCCGCGCCAUUCCCCUCCGCCACACACGCGUGUCAGGCCUGCACGCACACUCACCCUGAGGUCUGCACACACACUGUGUGUGUCCGUGUGCACAAACCGGGCAGGUUUGGGCUGUGCACGUGUACACGGGGCUGCGCCCAAGCACGAGGGUGGGGUGCACACCCACGCACCCGUGUGUGGUGUGAGUGGGCAUGCACACAUCUGCAUGUACUUUGUGUGUGUACAUGCUUGCACACGUGCACGCCCACGCACCCCUGGGGGGCACACGGGGGUGCACACGCCAACAUGUCUGCUCUCCCUGCUGAUUCAGCAGUGACUGAGGCACUCGGUGAGCAGGGGGCCCAGCCAGACCUGAGGGGUGCCCCCCACGGACCCUGCGGCCCCCAGUGGCUGAGGCCUGGACUCAGCUCUGGGCUCCGACACUCCCGGCGCUGCCCCAGCUCAGGACGGAGCCUCGGAGCAGACGACCCAUCCGCAUAACGGGCGCCCCCGUCCGCCCUGGCGCUCAGGAUGGCAGCAGGGCA
rnacentral:lncRNA from 12 species